UAACUGACUGAGCCACCCAGGCGCCCCUUUUAUCAUUUCUUAUAAAACCUGAAUAACGAUACUCUACUGUAGGUUGUAUACCACAUAUUUCUAUUCUCCCCAAAGAAGGCAUGAACAUAUGAGAAAAAUCAAGAACAGAUGACCAAGGCUGUUUGAGGAGAUCAAAGGAGCUAAUGGAUGCAAGUGAGACUAUUUUGCUAAAAGCAUGAAGCCACAUGGAAAUACAAGGUUUUCUCAGUCUAUCUAAUGCAUCUCUCUUAUAAUUGAGUAGGGGCUUUAGUUUGCUUUGAUGUAGCCACCAACCUUUCAGAGCAGCAUUCGGACUACAGUUUGGUUUCAAGCUCAAUGUAAAGGCAGGGGGCUCACCAACAUCACUAACCAUGGACUAACAGAACAUUUGAUGCACAGAUACAGGACCCCACAUAGCACUGAACCAUUGAAGAACCAAGGAUCCAAAUCUGCAGCAAAUGAAAAGCACCAAUGGCACAUAAUCUGUGGUCUUCUGACAUAUUACACGCCCCAAAUACUGCUAGCAUAAAA